GCCGCGGUAAUUCCAGCUCCAAUAGCGUAUAUUAAAGUUGUUGCAGUUAAAAAGCUCGUAGUUGGAUCUGAGGACUAGAGAUAAUGGUGCGAUAACCUCGUUACUGUUAUUUCUGCCUAAAAAGACAGUGCUAGGCAUUGGUGCUCUUAAUUGAGUGCUUUUGCUGCCUGUCAAGUUUACUUUGAAAAAAUUAGAGUGCUCAAAGCAGGCGCUUUGCCUGAAUAGUGGUGCAUGGAAUAAUGGAAUAAGAUCUUCGGAUCUAUUUUGUUGGUUCUCGGAAGCCGAGGUAAUGAUUAAGAGAGGCAGACGGGGGCAUUCGUAUUGUGGUGUUAGAGGUGAAAUUCUUGGAUCGCCGCAAGACGAACGACUGCGAAAGCAUUUGCCAAGCAUGUUUUCAUUAAUCAAGAACGAAAGUCAGAGGUUCGAAGACGAUCAGAUACCGUCCUAGUUCUGACCAUAAACGAUGCCAGCUGGCGAUCCGCGGUGGUUGUUAUUUUCGACCCCGCGGGCAGCCUCCGGGAAACCAAAGCCUUUGGGUUCCGGGGGAAGUAUGAUUGCAAAGUCGAAACUUAAAGGAAUUGACGGAAGGGCACCACCAGGAGUGGAGCCUGCGGCUUAAUUUGACCCAACACGGGAAAACUCACCCGGCCCGGACACUGUUAGGAUUGACAGAUUGAAAGCUCUUUCUCGAUUCGGUGGGUGGUGGUGCAUGGCCGUUCUUAGUUGGUGGAGCGAUUUGUCUGGUUAAUUCCGAUAACGAACGAGACUCUUGCCUGCUAAAUAGUCGGGUCGUAUAAUUUAGCGACUUUAUGACUUCUUAGAGGGACAAGCGGCAACUAGUCGCACGAGAUUGAGCAAUAACAGGUCUGUGAUGCCCUUAGAUGUUCGGGGCCGCACGCGCGCUACACUGAAGGGAACAACGAGUAGUUUUCCUGGCCCGAAUGGGUCGGGUAACCUGUUGAAUACCCUUCGUGACAGGGAUCGGGGCUUGCAAUUAUUCCCCGUGAACGAGGAAUUCCCAGUAAGCGCAAGUCAUAAGCUUGCGUUGAUUACGUCCCUGCCCUUUGUACACACCGCCCGUCGCUACUACCGAUUGAAUGUUCUGGUGAAAUCAUCAGAGUGGUGCCGAUGGGGUGGUCUCCACUCCAUUGGAAACU
rnacentral:rRNA from 1 species